AGAGUUUGAUCCUGGCUCAGGAUGAACGCUGGCGGCGUGCUUAACACAUGCAAGUCGAACGGAAAUCAAAUGAUCGAGACUUCGGUUGAAGUCGUUGGAUUUUAGUGGCGGACGGGUGAGUAACGCGUGGGUAACCUGCCCUGUACAGGGGGAUAACACUUAGAAAUAGGUGCUAAAACCGCAUAAGCGCACAGUCUCGCAUGAGACAGUGUGAAAAACUCCGGUGGUACAGGAUGGACCCGCGUUGGAUUAGCUGGUUGGUGAGGUAACGGCCCACCAAGGCGACGAUCCAUAGCCGGCCUGAGAGGGUGAACGGCCACAUUGGGGCUGAGACACGGCCCAAACUCCUACGGGAGGCAGCAGUGGGGAAUAUUGCACAAUGGGGGAAACCCUGAUGCAGCGACGCCGCGUGAAGGAAGAAGUAUCUCGGUAUGUAAACUUCUAUCAGCAGGGAAGAAAGUGACGGUACCUGACUAAGAAGCCCCGGCUAACUACGUGCCAGCAGCCGCGGUAAUACGUAGGGGGCAAGCGUUAUCCGGAUUUACUGGGUGUAAAGGGAGCGUAGACGGAGAGGCAAGUCUGAUGUGAAAGGCUGGGGCUCAACCCCGGGACUGCAUUGGAAACUGUUUUUCUUGAGUGCCGGAGGGGUAAGCGGAAUUCCUAGUGUAGCGGUGAAAUGCGUAGAUAUUAGGAGGAACACCAGUGGCGAAGGCGGCUUACUGGACGGCAACUGACGUUGAGGCUCGAAAGCGUGGGGAGCAAACAGGAUUAGAUACCCUGGUAGUCCACGCGGUAAACGAUGAAUACUAGGUGUCGGGGAGCACAGCUCUUCGGUGCCGCCGCAAACGCAUUAAGUAUUCCACCUGGGGAGUACGUUCGCAAGAAUGAAACUCAAAGGAAUUGACGGGGACCCGCACAAGCGGUGGAGCAUGUGGUUUAAUCCGAAGCAACGCGAAGAACCUUACCAAGUCUUGACAUCCUACGACGAUGCUAGAAAUAGUAUUUUCCUUCGGGACGCAGAGACAGGUGGUGCAUGGUUGUCGUCAGCUCGUGUCGUGAGAUGUUGGGUUAAGUCCCGCAACGAGCGCAACCCUUAUGGUCAGUUACUACGCAAGAGGACUCUGGCCAGACUGCCGUUGACAAAACGGAGGAAGGUGGGGAUGACGUCAAAUCAUCAUGCCCUUUAUGACUUGGGCUACACACGUACUACAAUGGCGUUAAACAAAGAGAAGCAAGACCGCGAGGUGGAGCAAAACUCAGAAACAACGUCCCAGUUCGGACUGCAGGCUGCAACUCGCCUGCACGAAGUCGGAAUUGCUAGUAAUCGUGGAUCAGCAUGCCACGGUGAAUACGUUCCCGGGCCUUGCACACACAGCCCGUCA
rnacentral:rRNA from 1 species